UGUUGGAAACUCGGAUGGUUCU
rnacentral:siRNA from 1 species